GACGAACGCUGGCGGCGUGCUUAACACAUGCAAGUCGAACGGAAAGGCCCUGCUUUUGUGGGGUGCUCGAGUGGCGAACGGGUGAGUAACACGUGAGUAACCUGCCCUUGACUUUGGGAUAACUUCAGGAAACUGGGGCUAAUACCGGAUAGGAGCUCCUGCUGCAUGGUGGGGGUUGGAAAGUUUCGGCGGUUGGGGAUGGACUCGCGGCUUAUCAGCUUGUUGGUGGGGUAGUGGCUUACCAAGGCUUUGACGGGUAGCCGGCCUGAGAGGGUGACCGGCCACAUGGGGACUGGGUUCCGGCCCAGCUCCCACCGGGGGGCAGAGGUGGGGAUUAUUGAACAUGGGCGGAAGCCUGAUGCAGCAACGCCGCGUGCGGGAUGACGGCCUUCGGGUUGUAAACCGCUUUCGCCUGUGACGAAGCGUGAGUGACGGUAAUGGGUAAAGAAGCACCGGCUAACUACGUG
rnacentral:rRNA from 1 species